CCCAGGGUAGCCUAGUGGACAUGGCAUCUGCCCGGUAAGCGGAACACUGUGGGUUCGAUUCCCAUCCCUGGACA